rnacentral:rRNA from 1 species
GGUAGUCCACGCCGUAAACGAUGUCGACUUGGAGGCUGUGAGCAUGACUCGUGGCUUCCGGAGCUAACGCGUUAAGUCGACCGCCUGGGGAGUACGGCCGCAAGGUUAAAACUCAAAUGAAUUGACGGGGGCCCGCACAAGCGGUGGAGCAUGUGGUUUAAUUCGAUGCAACGCGAAGAACCUUACCUGCUCUUGACAUCCACGGAAUUUGGCAGAGAUGCCUUAGUGCCUUCGGGAACCGUGAGACAGGUGCUGCAUGGCUGUCGUCAGCUCGUGUUGUGAAAUGUUGGGUUAAGUCCCGCAACGAGCGCAACCCUUAUCCUUUGUUGCCAGCGAUUCGGUCGGGAACUCAAAGGAGACUGCCGGUGAUAAACCGGAGGAAGGUGGGGAUGACGUCAAGUCAUCAUGGCCCUUACGAGCAGGGCUACACACGUGCUACAAUGGCGCAUACAAAGAGAAGCGACCUCGCGAGAGCAAGCGGACCUCACAAAGUGCGUCGUAGUCCGGAUCGGAGUCUGCAACUCGACUCCGUGAAGUCGGAAUCGCUAGUAAUCGUGGAUCAGAAUGCCACGGUGAAUACGUUCCCGGGCCUUGUACACACCGCCCGUCACACCAUGGGAGUGGGUUGCAAAAGAAGUAGGUAGCUUAACCUUCGGGAGGGCGC